rnacentral:rRNA from 1 species
UACAGAGGGUGCGAGCGUUGUCCGGAAUCACUGGGCGUAAAGGGCGCGUAGGUGGCUUGAUAAGUAGGGGGUGAAAUCUCGCGGCUCAACUGCGAGGCUGCCUCCUAAACUGUCGGGCUUGAGCACAGUAGAGGCAGGUGGAAUUCCCGGUGUAGCGGUGGAAUGCGUAGAGAUCGGGAAGAACAUCGGUGGCGAAGGCGGCUCUCUGGGACGGUACUGACGCUGAGACGCGAAAGCGUGGGGAGCGAACAGG